AAGAGUUUGAUCAUGGCUCAGAUUGAACGCUGGCGGCAGGCCUAACACAUGCAAGUCGAACGGUAACAGGAAGCAGCUUGCUGCUUUGCUGACGAGUGGCGGACGGGUGAGUAAUGUCUGGGAAACUGCCUGAUGGAGGGGGAUAACUACUGGAAACGGUAGCUAAUACCGCAUAACGUCGCAAGACCAAAGAGGGGGACCUUCGGGCCUCUUGCCAUCGGAUGUGCCCAGAUGGGAUUAGCUAGUAGGUGGGGUAACGGCUCACCUAGGCGACGAUCCCUAGCUGGUCUGAGAGGAUGACCAGCCACACUGGAACUGAGACACGGUCCAGACUCCUACGGGAGGCAGCAGUGGGGAAUAUUGCACAAUGGGCGCAAGCCUGAUGCAGCCAUGCCGCGUGUAUGAAGAAGGCCUUCGGGUUGUAAAGUACUUUCAGCGGGGAGGAAGGGAGUAAAGUUAAUACCUUUGCUCAUUGACGUUACCCGCAGAAGAAGCACCGGCUAACUCCGUGCCAGCAGCCGCGGUAAUACGGAGGGUGCAAGCGUUAAUCGGAAUUACUGGGCGUAAAGCGCACGCAGGCGGUUUGUUAAGUCAGAUGUGAAAUCCCCGGGCUCAACCUGGGAACUGCAUCUGAUACUGG
rnacentral:rRNA from 1 species